rnacentral:rRNA from 1 species
GACGAACGCUGGCGGCGUGCCUAAUACAUGCAAGUCGAGCGGACUUUCAAGAAGCUUGCUUUUUGAAAGUUAGCGGCGGACGGGUGAGUAACACGUGGGCAACCUGCCUGCAAGACGGGGAUAACUCCGGGAAACCGGGGCUAAUACCGGAUAAUAUCUUCCUUCGCAUGAAGGAAGGUUGAAAGGCGGCGCAAGCUGCCGCUUGCAGAUGGGCCCGCGGCGCAUUAGCUAGUUGGCGAGGUAACGGCUCACCAAGGCGACGAUGCGUAGCCGACCUGAGAGGGUGAUCGGCCACACUGGGACUGAGACACGGCCCAGACUCCUACGGGAGGCAGCAGUAGGGAAUCUUCCGUAAUGGACGAAAGUCUGACGGAGCAACGCCGCGUGAGCGAAGAAGGUCUUCGGAUCGUAAAGCUCUGUUGUCAGGGAAGAACAAGUACCGUUCGAACAGGGCGGUACCUUGACGGUACCUGACCAGAAAGCCACGGCUAACUACGUG